ACCCGCUGAACUUAAGCAUAUCAAUAAGCGGAGGAAAAGAAACCAACAGGGAUUACCUCAGUAACGGCGAGUGAAGCGGUAAAAGCUCAAAUUUGAAACCUGGCUCUUUCAGAGUCCGAGUUGUAAUUUGUAGAAGAUGCUUCGGGUGUGGUACCGAUCUAAGUGGUCUGGAAUGACACUAUCAUAGAGGGUGAGAAUCCCGUAUGUGAUUGGUUACCUACGCUCAUGUGAAGCUCUUUCGACGAGUCGAGUUGUUUGGGAAUGCAGCUCAAAAUGGGUGGUAUAUUUCAUCUAAAGCUAAAUAUUGGCCAGAGACCGAUAGCGCACAAGUAGAGUGAUCGAAAGAUGAAAAGCACUUUGGAAAGAGAGUUAAACAGUACGUGAAAUUGUUGAAAGGGAAGCGCUUGCAACCAGACUUGCACCUGAAGUUCAUCGUUGAUUUUUCUUCGUGUACUUCUUCAGGUUCAGGCCAGCAUCAGUUUGAGUGGUUAGAUAAAGGCCUUGAGAAUGUGGCCCUCUUCGGGGGGUGUUAUAGCUCUCGGUGCAAUGUAGCCUACUUGGACUGAGGACCGCGCUUCGGCUAGGAUGCUGGCGUAAUGGUUGUAAGCGACCCGUCUUGAAACACGG
rnacentral:rRNA from 1 species